CAAUGUUUCCUCCAUCCAAUGGCAGCUCUCCACUGUACAGGAAGUCCACUACAGCCGUCAGACCGAUGUAGGACAUCCCAACCAGCUGCACCUGCAGACAGGAAGAGGACAAAGGAGGUUAAUUGCCUCCUAUGUACCUCCUCCUGGCGUUCCUCCCUCAUGCCCAAGGUGAACAUAGCGUAGAAGUACGGGCUGGAGACAGCCAGCAGAGCUCGAUGCGCGGGGAGCCGCUGGUCGUCGGCCACCAGCACCACAUCACAGAACUGGCUGUGCUGCCGCUGCUCAUUGAGGCCCUGCAACACCUCCAAACCUUGUUCCACGCAGCGGAACACCUGCCAACACAACAACACAAUGACAACAAGGCUGGCCCUGUUUACACCUGCCAUUAAAACGCGUCACUGGUGAUUGGAUCAAAAGUGGACAGCUCUACUAGACUGUUGUGACUCCAGAUGUGGCUUCCAGUUGGCUCAGGCUAAUCUGUAGUAAAUUUUUCAGUUGCAUUUAUAAGAGGGACGGACUGAAAACUACACACUGAUCAGAGCCAGCAACAUGUUUGUGUGUGUGACUUUUUUAAAUAAAUGAAUGAAAUAGAAAAAUACAUUGGGUUAUGCUGACUGGUACUGAAGGGAGAGCGGGGUACAGUGUGUCAGAAGUCACAUCAUUCAACUGCAUUAUUCUAUACAUUAUAAUGUAAUAUAAAUGUAACGCUUAAUGUUUUAGAUCAGACUGACUGUCUUUUAGAAGGACCAACUUCCCGAAACUCACAAAGGGGAGUGCCAACACUGUUCCACAGCAGCCACACUGACAAGUGUUUAUCUUUGUUUAUCGGCCCUAUGGGUGCAGACAUCUGCAAAUGCCAAUUAUCUCUAAAUGCCAGAUAAUUAAGUUAUCCUUUAUUGAUUCAUUUGACACAUGUAAUGGCAAUUUUUAAGAACCUAUACAACCCUUUGACCUGGUCAUUGUAAAACCAUACGCAACUGUUGAAGAGGAUAUUAUAUGCAUAUAACCUUUAGCCCUGUUUCUAUCUACACUGCAUGUCCAAGUAAACAGCGGGAUGUUGAGACUUCACUAAGAAGCCAAGGACAUGAUCAUCGCACCACACUAUCUGUCUGUUUACUGUCCCAGAACUCAGGAAUGUGUAACUGUGUUAGAGUGACGCUCCAACAGGGAUAAAACCAUACUGCUUCUUUAACAUUCGAUAGUGUGUGACGGCUGCGCUGACUCUAUUAAUGGAUGACUUGAAUAAAACCUUACAGAAAGACAAGAUCA